rnacentral:ncRNA from 2 species
AAUAAAAAUCCGAAUUAUACCUGUAUAAGUUUCUAAUAUGGAGAAAUGUUUCUACGGAGCACCUUAAAAAGCUCUACUAUAGGUUAAUAUUGAAUUUAU